CUCCAAGGUGGGAUGGAUAGAAGGUGCUCCAGGCAUAGGCGUGGUUUCCCAGUAAUUGCUGUGUCCCUCCACUCACAGGAAAUUCUUUGAGCCAUCAGACUCUCUGGACAGGCUGAAGGAAAGGAACAACACACGUCAGCACUUCCUGGUAGAUGCAGCCGGCAGCAUCACAGUAUAUGGUAUCCCGGCAACGGUGUUCCAAGAUUCUUUGGACUCCAUUGAAUUCGGGACACAAUGGAGUCCCCACUGACAACAGCAUAGUCGCCGCUGCCACGACCAACGUUUCUGUGGCCUCCGCUGAGACACACGCCGUGAAAGGAGGUCUCCGGUGCCAUGGGACCCAUCUACAGCACAGCUCCUGCAUCCAAGACUCAAGAAGCCUCUUAGAAGAGGGAAGGGGAAAGAUUGUGAGAGCCAGCGGACCAGGAAAUCUGCUGUGAGAUUGUGCCUCCUAGAAAAAGGACAAGGCAGCUUAACCCACGAUGCAUGAUCACAAUUUUAAAAAAAGAUCGUCCCUGGGGCUGGAGAGAUGGUUCAACGCUUGAGAACGCUUGUUUUUCCAGAAGACCUGAGUUCGGUUCCUGGAACCCUUGUUGGCAGCUCACAGUCAACUAUGACUCUACCUCUAUAGAAUGAGGUGCUUUCGACUCUGACCUCCUCAGACACCCUAGCAUACACACACACACACAGAGAGAGAGAGAGAGAGAGAGAGAGAGAGAGAGAGA